UGAAGCACUUUGUACCAGCCACUGUCAGAGGAAAGGUUAUGGACUAGAUUACUCUGGACCCACCCAUGCUGGUAACAUCCCUGUAUUGAAACUUCGCUUCUGAAUUGCUGUCCUCUCUGUAGACUCCAGCACUAAAUUACCUAGCUUGCAUUCUUUGGCUGCCUCUGGAUGUGCAAAUUGCAGUGGACUUGGCUACCAACCUGUGAGUAUCUGCCUUGGACAAGGACCGUGCUGCCUUCCUCCGUGCGUUUCUCACCUCCAUCUUGGAUCACUGCACUCAUUCUCAUCAGAAUAGAGGAGUCGAUGUUGGUCCUGGUAGACAUGCCCCAAAAGCAGACUCCAUCCUAGAUGCAAAAGCGGUCUGUGUAGCUGGCAGUGAAGCAUGGCAAAUAUUCACUGGUGAAGUGAAGGUCUGAUGAGACAUGCAGUUUGCUGUUCAGCCCAUUCUGCAACCUGAGUGUCUUAACCAGAGCUGAUCCCAACAACCCAGAAAAGCAACUGGAAGAGUUUCCUGACCAGUGUGGUACGCCUGUGGGAAACAACGACAGUGCCCCAAAGCGCACUGUUUUCACUGUCACCCCAACAGUACAGAAUUACAUGAAGCAGUGCCUCGUCUUACCUUGAGCAAGUACAGCCACAGCGAUGGUAUAUCGCUGCCCAUCUGUGCCGGCUUGGGAAGAGGUAUGUGCUUGGAAAGAGGUAUGUGCUUGACAAAUGUGCUUGAUUCAGUGCUAAUUACAUUGCCAAACCACUGUGCGUUUGUGUGUGUAUGUGUAUGUGGGUGUGUGAGGCAGAAGAUCAGGGAGUUGUCUCACCUGGCUCUAUUACCUGAGCAUCAAGCAUCUUGCCUAUGCUCCCUUAGUGUCAGUGGCAAGGUAGGUAGGGUAAUACAUCCUGUUCUAACCUAGGAGUUAAAGCUUAGAAAACUAAUUUAGAAAAAGAAUAGCUACUAUUUAGUUAACUGAACAUGUGAUAAAGGUCCCUCCUCAUUUAAAAAAAUGUCAAAUUAUCAUUAAAUAUUUUCAAAAUAUAGCACAUUUAAGACAACUUAAUUCCCUUCUAGGUUUACAAUUCACAUCUAAAACUUUCUCAUCUUCUUCAUCUAUUGCAAUGAAUUUUGACUCUCUCCAUUUCCAGCCUAGCCUGCUUCACUCCUCCUUAGGCAGCUUGGUGACCCUGAGCUCCCUGAGGAUCACUGUACUGAUGCUGGCCUCAGUGUGGGCAUGUGCUUGGCAUAGCACACUGCAGCCCAUGACUCCUGGGCUCAAGUGAUCUGGUGGACUUAGCCUCCCAGGUAGCUGGGACUGCAGGCACGCACCUCUGCGCCCAGAAAGCAGCAUGCCAACAGCAUCCUGGGCUGCAUUAGGAGGAGCAUUGGUCAAGGGUGGUGAUCUUUCCCCU